UGUAGUCAUAUGCUUGUCUCAAAGAUUAAGCCAUGCAUGUCUAAGUAUAAGCAAUUAUACCGUGAAACUGCGAAUGGCUCAUUAAAUCAGUUAUCGUUUAUUUGACAAUACCUUACUACUUGGAUAACCGUGGUAAUUCUAGAGCUAAUACAUGCUGAAAAUCCCGACUUCGGAAGGGAUGUGUUUAUUAGAUAAAAAACCAAUGCCCUUCGGGGCUUUUUGGUGAUUCAUGAUAACUUUACGGAUCGCAUAGCCUUGCGCUGGCGACGGUUCAUUCAAAUUUCUGCCCUAUCAACUUUCGAUGGUAAGGUAUUGGCUUACCAUGGUUUCAACGGGUAACGGGGAAUG
rnacentral:rRNA from 1 species